GGCUGGACCAAGUGCAGUGGUGUUUAUAAUUGACCACACCAGAUACAGAUUCCUUUGUUUCUUUUCUACUCCCACUGCUUCAUUUGACUAACCGUAA
ensembl:misc_RNA Y_RNA Y RNA